UGCGAACUGUCCGGCGUAUCGCGUGUUUCUGUACAGAGAAAGACGGUCGGUAUCGGGGUUUUUUUUCCUCCCGUGCAAUGGGUAGUGCGUGGUACAAGUGAUUGGCUUGAUUGAUAAGCAAAAUUCAAACCAAGCAAUUCGUGCAAAGAAACAGUGUGCUGUGAUGUGUUAAGAAUAAUGCCACAAGGCAUAAAGAAUGAAAGAAGGAAAAAUAGAAACCUAUGUUAUGUGCUGGCUAUCACGAGCCUGCAGUGCGACAGAAGGAGAAAGUUAGGGCAAGCGAGAUGAAGCGAACAACAGCCUACGGUGUACCCACACUUUCAAAACAAUCCGUGUACGUACGAUAUAAUCCUGGUGUUAGAUCAAGAAUCGGCGGUCGAGGGAAAUAAAAAGAUACCAAAACGCUUGCCACAGUUACCCUCAACCGUCUGUAUUCGGUUCCAGCCGGAAAAUAGUAUCCCUUUUUGCUGCGACUCGAGUGCAAUGUAGUGAAGACGCCGGUACAUUUGUGUUGUACAGUAACUACCCAAUUCCGGAACGUAACGAAAAGUGCAACAGCUUCUCAGCAACUAGUGUAAAUUUCGUAUACUGUACUAGUGUUUAUUUUACCCUAUCAAUGUGUUUGUAUGCCUGUAAUUGGUUUUAACAAUGUGUAUUUUAAAGUUCGCUAUUUUCUCUAAAACGAUGCUGUGUGCGAAAUUAUCUGAUACGAGUUAAGUGCAGUAACGGUCCGAUAUUCAAGCAGAACGAUAAAGAAAAACUUCGCAUGGCCGUACACUUUAUUUCGUGGGCUCUGAAGACGAAAUCUUACCAUUUUCUUCACGCUGCUAUGUCAGCCGCAAUCGGCAAUCAACUCGUCGUGGUCGUCGACGGUGGUGGUAUUAAUAAUUGCCACCAGUAAUCAUCUUCCAUCCGGGAACCACACGUCGGUACGGUGACAACUGGCAACAUCUCACAUCUGGCCGGUCGUCAUAGCAACCGCCGGUGGAUGGCACCCACUCGUAGUUUGCCCCUACCUCCGGUACCCAGUGCAGUGUUGAGCGAAAGGGAUCGUUAAAUUACCUAAAUUGACCGAGCCGCCUACGGUGUUUUGUUUACGGAAUUGGCUGCUUCCAGCACUCCGGAUGAUUAUUGUAUGAGCAUUUUACAACCAGCCAACGAUUUCCCAACCCGAUAGUACCCGAUACCCACAUCGAAACUGCGAAGCUGUCAUCGCGGUUGCGUGUUGAACGAGUUGGAACCACCACAUAUGCAACUAUUUUUCGUGUAGCGGCAAGGACGUGCGGCACCAUCCCACAUCGGCAAGGCUCUUGUGCAUGUGCCUUCGUGUGGGAGGAGAAGCUCGUGGAAGGGGUUGUCACGUAGCCUUCUUAUGGUUUAGCCUAUCUUCCGGUGAGCAAAAAAGGGAAAGCUCUGGUAGUGAUGCAUCUGGAAAGAGGCACUACCCUGUAACGUCCUCGACGAGGCAUGUAGUGACGGAUGAUGAGUUUGGUGCGCAACGUAAUGGAGGUAAUGUUGGGACAGAAGAACACAACGGUGUCAAUACUCACGGGUUUAACGUUAACUUACGGAAAAUCGUGCUAAGCCACCGACAGAAUAGGAGCAAGAACACAACAUAAGGGUCAUGGCAUGAUGCACACGAACCCACUGGAGUGCCUAGGACAGAUACAGCCGAUCGAUUGCACCUCACACGGUUUCACGAACGUUGGACGGCAGCAUACAGGAGGAAAGUUCAUGUUUAUCAGCAGCUACAUUGUUGCACGGCGCAACGGAACCGGCUCGCUGGCGAACGGCGUGUUAUGGGAGAAAAUAAGAUAAAUGGUUGUGGAAUGAGACACGCACACACACGCACACACACAUAUAUACUCAGCUAAAGCAAACUCCCAAAUGUCUCGCAUCCAAAGGAAGGCAUCGAUAAAAUGACCGAAAAUACACUGCAAGGAGUCUAGUAGCCUGAAAAACGCGAGAGAGAAAUCUGAGACUACCGACAAAAGCACACGGGCGAUUGCAAGCGAAAGUGGCUUGCAAAGUCGGUUACUACGAUCGAGUCGACCGACACAGCGGAGCAGAAACCAGGCAACGCGUUACCUUACAUGAUGCUGGAGCGUUAUGAUUCUACUACGUAACGCAGAUAUUAGUACUUGGAACGUUCCAUCGCGCAGGGCGUGAUAAUUAGUCAUUUAUCGGUGGCGAAAUGAGGUCGCUUGACGGAGGCAGUUGGAUCCUCGUUGAGCAAUCUG